GCCAAAUUGAAACAAAUUGUUAAAUGCUUGAAAUAAAAUUUUUAAUUGGCCUAUAAAAUAGUUCUCUACAAUUUGUUGUGCCCUGUUUAUCGUUAAUUACUUAAAAUUGUCGUGCAGAAUAUAGUUAAAAUUGUUGCCACAAGUAUUAUUUUUCGACAACAAUAUUUUUGCUAUAAAAGCCAUUCGAAGCACCUUGAAAAUCAUUCAGUUUUCUUAGGAUAUCCAAGCAAAAAACUAACACUUUAUAAAAGUCCAAAAUGAAAUUCUACGCCACCAUUGCUGUAGCUAUCAUGAGUGUCUUGGCAUUUGCUUCUGCCAAUCCUGAACCGAUUUUGCAGACAAUAAGUGGUUUAACUGAUAACCUUGGCAAGUAAAAGUUUGCCAACAUUUUAGUCUCCAAUUUGAUACUGAUGAACGAGGAAGUGGAAAAUGGCAAAGGAAUAAGCAAAA